rnacentral:rRNA from 1 species
GACGAACGCUGGCGGCGUGCCUAACACAUGCAAGUCGAGCGGUAAGGCCCUUUCGGGGGUACACGAGCGGCGAACGGGUGAGUAACACGUGGGUGACCUGCCCUCAGCUCUGGGAUAAGCCUGGGAAACCGGGUCUAAUACCGGAUAUGACUCCAUGACGCAUGUUGUGGGGUGGAAAGCCUUGUGCGGCUGAGGAUGGGCCCGCGGCCUAUCAGCUUGUUGGUGGGGUGAUGGCCUACCAAGGCGACGACGGGUAGCCGGCCUGAGAGGGCGACCGGCCACACUGGGACUGAGACACGGCCCAGACUCCUACGGGAGGCAGCAGUGGGGAAUCUUGCGCAAUGGGCGAAAGCCUGACGCAGCGACGCCGCGUGAGGGAUG